rnacentral:rRNA from 1 species
CCCGGGCCUUGUACACACCGCCCGUCACACCGUGGGAGUUAGUUGCUCCAGAAGUGGCUUGCCCCAACCCGCAAGGGAGGGCGGUCCCCAAGGAGUGGCUGGUAACUGGGGUG